UACAGAGGUCUCAAGCGUUGUUCGGAUUCAUUGGGCGUAAAGGGUGUGUAGGUGGCGCGCUAAGUCGGGUGUGAAAUUUCGGAGCUUAACUCCGAAACUGCAUUCGAUACUGGCGUGCUUGAGGACUGGAGAGGAGACUGGAAUUUACGGUGUAGCGGUGAAAUGCGUAGAUAUCGAUAAGGAAGACCAGUGGCGAAGGCGGGUC
rnacentral:rRNA from 1 species